rnacentral:lncRNA from 1 species
AAAAGAAAAGGGAUGAAAUACAUUAGAAUUAAACAAAAACAGGCAAAAUAUAGCAAGUAACUUUCAUCUGGAAAGGAGAAUGCUGAGGAAAGAUAAAUUCCAUUGUCUAACUAUUUUCCUCAUCCCAAACACCAUAAAAACCAUUUCUCAAAGGAUUUCCAGCCUCUGACUGUGUUCAAGUAUGAACAUAAGUGUUUCAGACAGCUCUGUAACUAACUGGCGAUGAAAUUGGAAGGUAUUUAUAAAAAGAAUAGCAGGCAAAGUAUCAACAUAAUAGCCACUUGCAGUCUCAAUAUCUAGGUCAUUUAAAGCUUACUAGCUAAAAUAGAUGUGGGUGCAUUCAGUUUCAGCUCCCCAACCUCAAUCCCAUUCAAUACUAGAAGGGAUAUUUUACUUCCUUCAAUUUCUGUAGUCUUGAACUGAUUCUAGAGUUUUUCUGAUUUUCUUCUGUUUCUUGCAUUUCUCCAGAUUUUAGUAGUCAGCAUUUCUCCUCUGAAGCUUUAUUCUGAACUGACUGAAAACAAAACAAUCAGAGUUAACAAAAUAGUGAUGACUUUCUGAAUUUAAAAUUCAGUCAGUAUUUAGUAGCAAAGCACUCCAUAAAGUUGGAAACUUGUCUGUGGUUAUCAAAAAGGCAGAGAGCUCUUCUAAACAUGCUGAAUGUCAUUUCCAGCCAUCAUUAUAUACUGCUUGAGUUCUGGAAGAAUAACAAAAAACAUUGCAUAUCUCACUUGGAACUUGACGUACCUAAGUAUAGAGACACAGUGCAUGUCCCCAGCUAUCCUGUAAACAGUGAGCAAAUGUUGUACUGAGUUUAAAACAAGCAAAUAAAAAAUCCCAUCCAUAUGUUGAGAAGGUUUACAUUCACUUUGGCAAUGUUUGAAUUCUGAGUGCCACUACUACUUUGUUUAAAGUGGAUCGCUAUCAACUGGGCAGAAAUUGAGUCCAGUCUAUUUCUGAAAGGAAUGAUACUUUCUAAGCUAGCCUCCUCCCAGCUACUGUAUUUUAUAACAGUGACAUAUGUAUUUUUGUUUUGUUUUGUCUAGUUUUGAAGCAGUUUUAACAACCCUGAGUACUAUGAUUUCCAUAUGGAAAUCCUGUCUUUGUUUCUUUGUUCUCAGUUAUCAGAAGCAGCAAUUUCUAAAACCUCAGUCCACUUGUCUCUUGCAAAGAUCUGAAGUGCAGAAAUUCUGUGAGCCACCAAAUGAUCACAGAGGGUAUUAUAGUGAUUUUUCAUUCUCAUUGUGAAGUGGGGAGAUUCCAACAUAAACUGCAGUCUU